rnacentral:siRNA from 1 species
AAUUAGUGGAAUCGGCUAACGAUC